GGCUUGUUGGCGUUGUGGUAAUGCGCUCCGUAGCGAUAUGUAACGUUCACGGAAGGUCCGAAGUUCAAUUCUUCAUCAAGCCU